GAGCCAAGGUCAGACAGUUUUUAUCCAGAACCAAUUUGGCCAAGCCACUGCAUAUAUCAUUGAGAUUAUCGACGCAGCAGAAAGGACCGUAGUUUUGCGUAAUCCACUCAAUGUACUCGACAAUAAUCUCUUCGCAGACCAGGGCUUAUGGAAUGAUAGUUUUGUACUUGGGCCUCCACCUCCUUAUACAGCUUCUGAAGAUGUCAACGAACAACAAGAAAGGGUACAGCCAUUGCCCAAUGACAGUGAGCGGGAGGAAUAACUUUUCAAGAAGUCUUAAAAUUUUAUAAGCACGGCAUCUUAAACAAAACGCACGUUCUGUGUAAUUUACGAAGUCAAGAAAAAAAGGUUCCUGGUUCAUUCUUAAGAAACUCGUGCCACAGGAAUCCCAACCGACUAAACAAGGAGAUAAAGAGACUAAGACAUGAAGAAAAGCCUGGGCAAGAGGCUUCCAGUGACUCUGAUGGAGUUCAAGUCAGUUCGAGUACGAGUCUGCUAUAUGUUGAUGACUACUCUUCCCAUUAGUGGGUUGAUUUUUUAAUCGCUUCGUAGCGUCCGUUAUGUUAACCGCGAGUGCACCGCGUGAUCAAAACUUGACUACACUUCGAUCACGUGGUGUAAAAAAUUUUGUCCACGUGAUACAACAUUGGCAUCACGUGGUCGAUUUGAAAUGCACUUAUUGUUUAGCUUGCAUCAUUUGAAACAAGGCUACGAUGGAAAACAGACCCGUUUGCCUCCUUUCUGAUAUUAAUCACCUAACAUCAUUGAUAUAUCUAGGAUGCUUACCAUAUAUACAUGUAUGAAAAAUACAGAAGUUCCUAUGCGAAAUUACGAUGACGUUUUCCUUUUGUUGACGCAUUCAUUAUUUGCUAGCCAGAAAACCAUCAAAACACGUGACAAACCUAUUUAAUAAAUAAUGAUAAUAGUAAUAAAAAAAAGGAAGAAUAUAAGAAUAUAAGAACCAGAGAAAAAAUGCUUACAGAAACACAUUAAAUUUAACUGUAAUUCAAAACUUGUUUGCAUCUAUUUACUUGACCGACUAGUUGGAUUUGACUAAAACAGUUAGUCCUCUCGCCCUCAUGGCCUGUAUGCGGUUAGUCACAGACAGUCCAAGGUCUGUGCUGGAGAGAAUAACUAAAGCCAGUACAGAAUGUAUUGGAUUGUUUUCGAAAUCCUCUCGAAUUGUCGUUUGAGACUUACCACUACCGAUUUAUACGAACAUUUUCUGUUUCUAUUU